rnacentral:lncRNA from 1 species
AGUCUGCUGAUAUCUGUGGAUACUAAAUAUAUAGUAAAUUUGUAUACCAGCCAAGGAUUGUGAUAAUACGCUGCGGUACGAUAACUUUCACAUUAUCCGCAUUUUAUUAGUGGUUUUGUUGAACUUAGAGCUGGCACUAUUUCUGAAACGGUCAGCAGGCAUACCACAACAUGAAGGAACCUGAACACUGCUGUCGUAGCCGUAAGAGCCAGGUCUCGAGCGGGGCUGGUCUGGCCGAGGGCGACGGAGGAAGGGCAAGGCUUCUGCACCACCAGAGGGGGUGUGUGGGAGGCGCUGAAGCUUUUCGAACUCACUGCUGCUACCCCUACCAAUUUUCAAUGACUUGGCAUUCCCUGAGUUCGUAGACAACAUCUUGAGCCUUCCCUGAAGAUGCCAGUGUUUUUGCGAUGUACUCCUGGUUCUUGGUAAAUAUGGCUUUAUCUCUCUCAUCCAUAUUGUCGCUUUUUUAUUUUCAAGUCUGUGGAUAAAAGAAAA